GUGCUGAAGGAUACACACUGGACCCUUGCUCCGAAGAAGACAUUUGUGUUCCAGGUGCACUAGAGCCACUGGCAUGCCCUGAACUUACAACACAGUGUCCGGACCUUCAACAAGUCACGUGUGAUGGUACAGCUUACACCUUUUCCGGCAGCUAUCAGUAUGUAGCUACCGAUCUGGUACCUUUGCGAUACUACAUCAGCUACUCCGGGUGUAACGAUGUCAUCAUAUCCACAUGUAACACCGUCGACUUCGACACAAAGCUGGCUCUUUUUGCCUGUGAUGCGCUGUCUAAUACUGAAUCCGGUGGGAGUCAGACAUGCAACAUCUACCAAGUUUACAGUCUGUACAAUAACGACGACGGGUGUGUUGGUUUCACCUCUUUGAUUCAGAUUCCCGGAGGAGAGCUACCCAGUGGAACGUAUGCAGUAGGUGUAUACGGGUACGACACCAGUGAAGGGACCUUUAUGGUCUCUAUCACUUGUUAGAGAUUUC